rnacentral:rRNA from 1 species
GGAGGGUGCGAGCGUUGUCCGGAAUCACUGGGCGUAAAGGGCGCGUAGGCGGCCUGAUAAGUAGGGGGUGAAAUCCUGCGGCUUAACCGCAGGGCUGCCUUCUAAACUGGAAGGCUUGAAUCCGGGAGAGGGAUGUGGAAUUCCAGGUGUAGCGGUGAAAUGCGUAGAUAUCUGGAGGAACACCGGUGGCGAAGGCGGCAUCCUGGACCGGUAUUGACGCUGAGGCGCGAAAGCGUGGGGAGCAAACAGGAUUAGAUACCCUGGUAGUCCACGCCCUAAACGAUGAUGACUAGUUGUUGGGGGAGUUAAAUCCCUUAGUAACGCAGCUAACGCGUGAAGUCAUCCGCCUGGGGAGUACGGUCGCAAGAUUA